rnacentral:rRNA from 1 species
UAGGGAAUAUUGGGCAAUGGGCGGAAGCCUGACCCAGCCAUUCCGUGUGCAGGAAGAAGGCCUUCUGGGUUGUAAACUGCUUUAGAUAGGGAGCAAAGAUAGUUUAAGAUAUUGUGAGAGUACCUAUAGAAUAAGCACCGGCAAACUCCGUGCCAGCAGCCGCGGUAAUACGGAGGGUGCGAGCGUUGUCCGGAUUUAUUGGGUUUAAAGGGUGCGUAGGUUGGUGUAUAAGUUUGCGGUGAAAGGUUGAUGCUUAACGUCGAGAAUGCCGUGGAUACUGUAUAUCUGGAGUGUAAUCGAGGUAACUGGAACGGGGAGUGUAGCGGUGAAAUGCUUAGAUAUUUCUCGGAACGCCGAUUGCGUAGGCAGGUUACUAGGUUAUUACUGACACUGAGGCACGAG